GCACAGAGGCUGCAGCAGUAAAUGCUCAUGUAAAAUUUUUAGGUUUUGAGAGCUACAGUCAUCUCCCUUAAAAACUUUGAUAACAAAAUAACAUCAUGUCAGCAUUUCCACUAACCCCAUAGGUAAUGUUGGGCGGAGUAACAUGAUCUGUUUAUCUACGGCAAAUUUGAUAUUUCACAGCUAUUGCAUUAAAGUCAGAAGAGAGACAGGUUUGUACCCUCAAAGAAUGCACUACAAAGGUCUCAACCUUUGAGACAAGCUGAUAUUUAUACUGCGGAGUAUAUAUGUGACAACGAAGCACUUCCCUUAAGGGAACAAUGUGAUUCCAUCAUGGUUUAAUUUCAAGAGGGAAGAUUCACUUCUGGAGCUGCUAAUGUGGAAUACCAUUAACAUCAUGUGCUGUAUGUGCAGACUCUGAAGACAGAUUCCUGCUUCUGGUAUUACACAACAAUAUACCCCAGUUUUAUAUGAACAACCAUCA